rnacentral:sRNA from 1 species
AUUUGUAUUCAUAUUGUUCAUUAAGAAUGAGUUCGUCAACUGAUCGCUAUGCCACCAGAGAGCAUGAAAGCUCAGGCCAACAUUUGACUACGGGAAAGUCUUCAACAAAAAAGUUCUAACAAAGACACCGAGAAAUCAAAGGAAUCCACGGCAUCUUAUGUGGGCGGAAAGACAAGUUCUGAAGGAAAAAAGGGUUCAAGAAGCAAACGUUGAAAGUAAACAAUACCAAAUCACAAACAGGAUUACUGGCAAAGGAAAAUAUGCAGUAGCAAAUUAUACUAUUACUUCAAAAUUCAAUGUUAUCGUUUCCAACUUGUUUAGAGUCUGUAGUUUGCAAACUAAAUUCAGCUAAACAAUAAGUCUAUAUUAUUC